CCUACGAGCGGCAGCAGUGGGGAAUAUUGCACAAUGGGGGAAACCCUGAUGCAGCGACGCCGCGUGAGUGAGGAAGUAUUUCGGUAUGUAAAGCUCUAUCAGCAGGGAAGAAAAUAACGGUACCUGACUAAGAAGCCGCGGCUACCUACGUCCCAGCAGCCGCGGUAAUACGUAGGGGGCAAGCGUUAUCCGGAUUUACUGGGUGUAAAGGGAGCGUUGGCGGCUAAUCAAGUCAGAAGUGAAAACCCAGGGCUCAACCUUGGGACUGCUUUUGAAACUGUGGAGCUGGAGUGCAGGAGAGGUAAGCGGAAUUCCUAGUGUAGCGGUGAAAUGCGUAGAUAUUAGGAGGAACACCAGUUGCGAAGGCGGCUUACUGGACUGUAACUGACGUUGAGGCUCGAAAGCGUGGGGAGCAAACAGGAUUAGAUACCCGUGUAGUC
rnacentral:rRNA from 1 species